rnacentral:rRNA from 1 species
CAAUUUAAACAACGAAGAGUUUGAUCCUGGCUCAGGAUGAACGCUAGCGACAGGCUUAACACAUGCAAGUCGAGGGGCAGCACAGGUAGCAAUACCGGGUGGCGACCGGCGCACGGGUGAGUAACGCGUAUGCAACUUACCUAUCAGAGGGGGAUAACCCGGCGAAAGUCGGACUAAUACCGCAUGAAGCAGGGGCCCCGCAUGGGGAUAUUUGCUAAAGAUUCAUCGCUGAUAGAUAGGCAUGCGUUCCAUUAGGCAGUUGGCGGGGUAACGGCCCACCAAACCGACGAUGGAUAGGGGUUCUGAGAGGAAGGUCCCCCACAUUGGUACUGAGACACGGACCAAACUCCUACGGGAGGCAGCAGUGAGGAAUAUUGGUCAAUGGCCGAGAGGCUGAACCAGCCAAGUCGCGUGAGGGAUGAAGGUUCUAUGGAUCGUAAACCUCUUUUAUAAGGGAAUAAAGUGCGGGACGUGUCCCGUUUUGUAUGUACCUUAUGAAUAAGGAUCGGCUAACUCCGUGCCAGCAGCCGCGGUAAUACGGAGGAUCCGAGCGUUAUCCGGAUUUAUUGG